UCCCGCAACCAUUGAUCACAGCAACAAAACAGCCAACAUCUGCACGCAAUGUGCAGAAGUGUAGUAUCAGUACAACCGACCCCAUGUACUGAGUAAGUAAUAAACCUAGCCGUAGAUUGAAAGUAUUGACGAGGUUCUACCAAGGUCGGGGUCCAAAACCACUAGUCCACAACGGUCCAUAACAACAUAAAACAAAUAAUACCAGAAAAAACACAGAGAUAAAAUGCUUAGCCAAAUCAUGAUUUCAAAAAUAAUAGUUCUUUCUUUCAAAUACAUCAGUGAAAACCCAAAUUGAUUGCCGAAAUUGCCAAAAAUAUGAAUAAGUUUGAAAGCAAUUAAUUUUUCCAAAGUUCUUUCAAUAAUAAAUAAAAUAUCUCAUUUUCUUUCCCAGAUAACCAGUGUAAAACAAAUGCAUCGCUAUGCCUAUCUGUCAGCAUGUGUGAGAAAUCAUGAAUAAUGUGAUACCGUACAGCAUGAGGAAACACAUCUCUAUGCAUAUAUGUCAUGUGUGCAUGUCAAUGCAAUGUAUCUCAGAGAUUGCACUCAUGUACUCAUACUCUCUCAGAGUACUCAAUCUCAUUGUCUCGCAUUCUCUCUNNNNNNNNNNNNNNNNNNNNNNNNNNNNNNNNNNNNNNNNNNNNNNNNNNNNNNNNNNNNNNNNNNNNNNNNNNNNNNNNNNNNNNNNNNNNNNNNNNNNNNNNNNNNNNNNNNNNNNNNNNNNNNNNNNNNNNNNNNNNNNNNNNNNNNNNNNNNNNNNNNNNNNNNNNNNNNNNNNNNNNNNNNNNNNNNNNNNNNNNNNNNNNNNNNNNNNNNNNNNNNNNNNNNNNNNNNNNNNNNNNNNNNNNNNNNNNNNNNNNNNNNNNNNNNNNNNNNNNNNNNNNNNNNNNNNNNNNNNNNNNNNNNNNNNNNNNNNNNNNNNNNNNNNNNNNNNNNNNNNNNNNNNNNNNNNNNNNNNNNNNNNNNNNNNNNNNNNNAAAAUAAAUAUUUCAUAACAAUAUGACCUCUGUGGGUCCCAAUAAUACUGGUACAUAGCCUCAACAUGAUUUUCAAUAUGCUUUUUAGCUCAAUUUCUUUAACUCAUAAAAUCGCAUGGAAAAUGCCAAUAUCAUUUAACAACAAAAUUCCACAGAAACAAUUAUGUCAUAAUUUUUAUAGUGUACGCCCACACGCCCGUCACCUAGCAUGUGCGUCACCUCCCAACAAUUUAUGAAAUACAUAUAUUCAGGGUUCAUACCCUCAACUCUAAGAUUAGAAGAGUUACUUAUCUCGAACAAGCCGAAUCCAAUGUCGAGCAAGCUAAACAAUGCUCCAGAAAUUCCAUUCUGUGCAUAACAACUCCCGAAUGGCUCGAAUCUAGUCACAAUUAAUUUGAUUCAGCUUACAAAAAUUAUAGGAAUUAAUUCCAUAUCAAAAUACUAAUAUUUUCCAAAAAUCCGAAAUUACGCCCAAAAAAUCAUUUGUGGGGCUCACGUCUCGGAAUCCGAUAAAACUCACCAAAUCCGAACUCCCAUUCAACCACGAGUCCAACCAUACCAAAAUUACUCAAAUCCGACCACAACUCGGCCUUCAAAUCCUCAAUUAAACUCUAUGAAAUUUUCUUCUAUUUUCAACCCAAAACACUAAUUUGUUGAUAAAAACAAUAAUAGAUUCGUGUAAUUUAACCAAAACCGAGUUAGAAUUACUUACCCCAAUCCAUAUGGUGAAAAUCGCUUCAAAAAUCACUUCGUUCCAAGCUCCAUAGCUUCAAACGUGUUAAAAUAACCGAAACCUCAAAAUAUAUUUUCUGUCCAGGCAUUUACUCUUCGCUAUCGCGAAGCACAAAAUUUUUCAGCCCCAAAAUUGCUCUUCGCGAUCGCGGAAAAUGCUUCGCGAUCGCAAAGAACAAACUCCCCAACUCUUCCAGAGAGCCUCUAGUAUAAUGGUCAUAACUGUUUGUACAAAAUUCCAAAUUGCAAUUUGUUUAACUUUCUGAAUACUAGACACCAAGGACUAUAACUUUCCUUUGUUACUCAUAUCCCAAUUCCUUAUAGAUUGCUAGAUAUAAACUUCCAAAAUCAGCCUUGUACAACAGAUAUUUCCAAACUCUUUCCAGACAGCCUAUAGUGUAUCCACCAUAACCUUUUGUACACAACUCCAAAUGACAAAUGGUUUACAUUUCUGAAAACUAGACAUCAAGUGCUACAACGUUCAAUUUUUGAUCAUGUAUAAAUUCCUUAUAGAUUGCGAGAUAUAAGCUUCCAAAUUCGGGCUAGUGUAGCAGGAUUUUCCUUUAAUCCAUCGCGAAAAGGCUUCCGCGAUCGCGAUUUACAGUACCCAAAUAGCAAAAUUGCUCUUCGCGAUCGCGAUCAUUUGUCCGCGAUCACGAUGCAUACCUCUGUGGCCAAAAACCAACAACUAAGAAUGGCCUAGAAAUGGUCCGAAACCACCCUGAAACUCUCCCGAGCCCCUCGGGACCUCAACCAAAUAUACCAACAAGUCCUAAAACAUCAUACGAACUUAGUCGAAGCCUCGAAUCACAUCAAAUAACGCUAAAACUACGAAUCACACCUCAAUUCAAGCCUAAUGAACUUUGAACUUUUAAAUUCUAUAUCUUGUUCCGAAAUACAUCAAAUCAAUCCGGAAUGACUUUAAAUUUUGCACACAAGUCAUAAAUGACAUAACGAAGCUGUUCCAAUUUCCAGAAUCAGAUUCCGACCUCGAUAUCAAAAUGUCAAACCCCCGGUCAAACUUCCUAAAAAUUUAACUUUCGGCAUUUCAAGCCUAAUUCCACUACGGACCUCCAAAUAAUUUUUCGGACACGCUCGUAGGUCCAAAAUCACCAUACGGAACUAUUGGAAUCAUCAGAAUUAAAUUCCGAGGUCGUUUACACGUAAGUCGACAUCCGGUCACUAUUUUAACUUUAGCUUUAAACCUUGAAACUAAGUGUUCCAAUUCAUUCCAAAGCCUCACCGGACCCGAACCAAUUGUCCCGAUAAGUUACAUAACAACUGUAAAGUACAAUUUGAGCAGUAAAUAGGGAAACAUGGUUGUAAUACUCAAAACAACCGGUCGGGUCAUUACAGAAGGAAACCCCCAAGUAAGACUAAAAAACCACUAACGGACCGCUGGGAAAAGGGACAUGUGGCCCAAUCUAAAUCACAAUAAGCUUGAAGGGAAAAAUCAGGAUCAUUAAACAUAAGUAAUCCUUGACCCAAAGUCCCUUUGACAUAUCGAAGCACAUGAUAAACAACAUUAAGAUGAACAGUAGAAGGAGCGUGUAUGAAUUGGCUGAGAAACUGAACAGAGAAAGCAAGAUCAAGUCUAGUAUUAGUGAGAAAAUUCAAUUUGUCAACUAAUUUUCUGUAAAGUGUAGGAUCAGAUAAGGGCUCGCUAGGAUUGUCUUUGAACUUUACAGUAACAUCCAUUGGACUAGCUACUGGAGGACAGUCCAGGCAGUUAAAAUAAGAUAAAAGGUCAAGAGCAAAUUUCCUUUGAUAAACAAUGACUCCUCCAGGUUCAGACAACUCCUCCAAACCAAGAAAAUAAUGAAGAUGGCCCAAAUCUUUAAUUUUGAACUGUUUGUCCAGAAGGAGUUUAAGAGAAAACAUUUCCUGUGCAUCAUUGCCACUCAACAGAAUGUCAUCAAUGUAAACAACUAUAAUGGUAAUAAGGCCAUUAACAGACUUAAUGAAAAGUGAAUAAUCAUUUUUAGAAACCGAAUAGCCCAUGGACAUAAGAAAAUCACUUAACUUGGAAUACCAUUGCCUGGAGGCUUGUUUCAAACCAUACAAAGACUUCUUUAAUUUGCAUACCAUAUUAUCCCCAGAAACCACCAAACCUUGAGGAAUUCUCAUGUAUAACUCUUCAUAUAAGUCCCCACACAAUAAAGCAUUAUUUACAUCUAACUGAAACAUGUCCCAACCCUUCUUAACAACAACAUCUAUGAGUGAUCUAAUGGUAGUCAUCUUAACAAUCGGGGAAAAAGUUUCUGUGUAAUCAACCCCUUCUUGUUGAGUAUCCCCACACACAACUAACCUUGCCUUAAACCUUUCUAUACUUCCAUCCGCCUUAUGUUUAAUUUUGUAAACUUAUUUAUUUCCAAUUGUCUUCUCACCACGGGGAAGGGGUGCAAUGUCCUAAGUUGCAUUAGCCUCAAUGGCCUUAAAUUCUUUUAACAUUGCUUCCUGCCAAGCAGGGUGCAUUGAUGCCUGCUGAUAAAUUAUUGGUUCAUGAACAUUAUCUAAAGCCUUUAGGAGACCCCGAUUAGAUAAACUUAGACUAUUGAAGUAAACAGACUUUGGAAAAAUAAGAAUAGAAGUCAAAGUGAUAGGUAAAGAAGAAAAAGCAGCACUACAUACAUAAUACUUUAAGUAAGAGAGUUGGUGAUGCUUCCUAAAAGGAUAUUUGGGAGGAAUGGCAGGGGCAUGAAUUGAAGGAGAAGUAGGAAAGUCAGCUGCAGGACUUAGAGAAGAAGGAAGUAUAGGGGCGAGAUCAGGUGUAGAGGAAGAUGAGGACUAUGAAGAAGAAGAUGGUGCAAAAAUAGUCUGGUAUGGGGAAGAAGUGUUUUAGUGGAAAAGAGUAUUAGGGGUGAGAUUAGUAGAAACAGGAGGGCCAAAGACAGAAGAAUUAGGAAUAUUGGGGAACAAGGUCUUAGGGGAAGAGGACUUAGAAUAAGGAAAGAUAUUUUCAUGGAAAAUAACAUCUCUAGAAGUAAAGAUCUUCUUGUCAGAAAGUUGCAUCAGCUUGUAUGCCUUUUUGCCAGGAGGAUAACCAAGAAAAAUAUAAGGUGUAGAUCUGGGAGAAAGUUUGUCUCUUAGAGGCUUGGGCACCACGGCAUAACAUAAGCAACUAAAACUCCUCAAAUGACUAUAUGAAGGUUGGACUCCAUAUAAAACUUCAAAUGGAGUUUUCCCAGAUAAUAUAGAACUAAGAAAUCUGUUUAUUAAGUAGGUAGCUGUGAGUAUGCAAUCCCCACAAAAAUAAAGUGGUAGUUUGGACUGGUAUAAGAGUGCCCUAGCAGUCUCUAGGAGGUGUUUGUGUUUUCUCUCGAUUACACCAUUUUAUUGAGGUGUAUAUGGACAAGAGGUGUGGUGUAAAACUCCUUUGGAUUGAAAAGAUUGGGUGGCUUCAAGGCUAGUACCAAGUUCUAGGGCAUUAUCUGUUCUAAUGGGUUUAAUUUUAAGGUUGAAUUGAGUCUCAACCAUUGAAAAGAAUGAUUUUAAAAUAGAAAGUGCAUUUUCUUUAUUGUUUAGAAGGUGGGUCCAGGUGCCUCUACUGCAUGGGAAUGACUAUUUGGAAAAAGGGGAUCUUUGUUGUCUAGUAAGUGGGCAUACAUCACAAAUGAAAGGUUGUCUAUCACAAGAUGGAACAUUGAUAAAAGUGAUUUUUUGUAAUUUUGAAAAAGGAAGGUGUCCCAGUCUAUUGUGCCACAAAAUGUGAGACUUAUUCACAAUGACAUUAUUUACAUGAACUGAGAGUGGAAAGGAAACAGUAGAACAAACAGACUAUGAUUCUGUGGAACUGAGAGUGUUGGAAUUGAGCAAGUAGAGCCCUAGCCAUUUUACCAAGUCCCAAUGUCUUCUUCAGAGAAGGGCCCUGUAGGAAACAUGCAUUUGAAGAGAAAGUUAAGAGCUAAGAUGUGUCAAAAGUAAGUUUGCAUACAGAAAUGAGAUUGUACUUAAAUGUUGGUAAGUAUAGUACUUUGGAUAGGGAGACAAAUGAAUUAAUCUGAACUGUACCAGUAGAAGUUACUUUAACUUUGUAUCCAUUAGGCAAAGUGACAAGAAUAGAAGUUGGUAAGUCAACUUUACAGAGGUCAUAUGGUCUAUUGCUCUAGAGUCUAUAAUCCAAGAAUCAAGAUCCAAAUAAGACUUAGAACAUGAACAAGAAACACAACUUAUAUGAUAGAAACAAGAAAGUAUACCUAUAAAAUUUGCGGAGGCAGUAUGGAACUGAUUAUGGACUUCAUCAACAACUUGCACAUUUUGAAGGAUGUUCAUCAACUGCUUGUACUGAUCUGUAGUUAUAGUGGUGGAUGUACUUGAACUCUCAGAGGUAUUGUCAGCUUUAGUCUCAUUAUUCAAGUAUAUGGUGGCAACAACUCUAACAUUUUUAUUUCGAAACUCAAAGUUUUGGGGAUAACCAUGUAGUUUGUAGCACUGUUCUAUCACAUAUCCAUUCUUUUUGCAAUACCUGAAGAAUAACUUCCUAGGAUCUGGAACCCCCUUUGCAUCAUAACUCACAUUUUGAUUUUGAUUCUGACCGGUGAAAUUAUAUCUUUGGGACUGAGGAUUGUAAGUGGUGUUAGAAUUGUUGAAUGAGGAAUUGGUGAAAGAGGGCUUAGAAUUAUUGAAAGAAGGCUUAGGAUUAUAAUUAGCUCCAAAAAAGAAAGAGGCUGAGUCAGAUUGAAACAUACUCAAAUUCUGAAUACCUCUUUGUUUUUCAUCCUAGAUAACCAAAGAAUAAGAUUUGCUCACAUUAGGCAGUGGCUCCAUCAUUAAGAUGUUUCCUCUAGCAUUAUUGAAGAUUUCAUUUAAUCCCAUUAAAAAUUGCAUUAACUUCAAGUUCUGGUCCCUGUUUAUCGUCUUAUGCUUACCCCCAUAAUUGCAUUCACAAACACAGUAAGAUUCAAUGUUUAAAGAUUCCAUCUCAUCCCAAAGUCUCUUAACCUUGUUGAAAUACCCACUCACAUCAUAAGAACCCUGGAAAACUAAACUCAGAUCCUUCUGAACUUCAUAUAUACGAGCACCAUUGGAUUGACCAUAACAUUGGCUCAAUUCAUCCCAAAGUCCUUUGGUAGUUUUGGAAUAUAUGACACUUUGAGAAAUGUCUGGAUCUAAGUAAUUAAGAAUCCAACUAAUGACCAUAUGAUUACACUGUUCCCAUUGGUCGAAGAGUGGAGAAUCAAUAGGAGGUCGAGUAUAACUACUAUUGAUAAAACUUAUUUUCUUCUUCGCAGAAAGUGCGAUAAUAAUUCUCCUCCUCCAAGCACCAAAACAUGUCCCGUUAAACUGUUUAGCAACUAACAUAAUCCCGUGAUUAUCAAAUGAAUGCAAAUAGAAAGGAUGAGAAGGGAAAAAAUAAGUUCAUCUUCAAAUAGCAGAGAUUGAUUGUGGUUAGACUGUUCAUCGUGGUCACUUACAUCACCCAUUGUAAACCAACAAUAUGAGACAUAACUAAUUGAAAAAAUCAAACAACUAUACUGCUCAACCAAAAGGAUUUCUGAAAAAAUAUUACCAAGUCACAAGGAAGAUUCCUUAAAAAGUGAGGUGUUGAUCGGAAUUUGCCAUGAAAUAUCUUCGUUAAAGUUUCAGAAAAUGCCAAAAACUCCUGAAUUCAGUCAUUGAUAUGCUCGUACAUGAAGCUAAGAAGGGAAAUUCAAUCUACUCUCCGAUUACAACCAGAUUAUGAUCUUAAAUUGAUAGAAAAUGAAACUAAAACAGAAUGAAGACGAGCUUAGGGCUUCGUCCAACUGCAAACAACACAUAAUGAGGAGGAAUAACCAUGAAACUCAAAUGCACAGACAGAAACUAGGUGAUUUCCAUUUGCUCUGGUACCAUGUUAGGAUCUGAAGAAUUCAAAACUCAACACACGAGAAAAAUCGGAGAAGAAUUGUCUCACACAAAGAGAGAAAAUUGAUUUAAUCAAAAAUGAUCGUCGUGCUUCCUUUAGAAGCUUCUAUUACUUAUAUAAGAUCCAAAAUGUUUAACCGACCCGGAACCCACUACAAAUGAAAAGAACUGGUAUAAAAUAAUACAAACCUAGCUACAACCCAAUACAAAUAAUUAAGCCUAAAGCAGUCAAAGCCCAAGUACAAGUAAAAUAUAGCUGACUAAUUCUAACAGACACAACCAUAACAAAGAAAGAAAAAUGAGAAAUAAAAUAGAAACUAAAAAUGCAAGGUAAAAAAGAAAACCUUCACCAAGUUACGAAUCUCCGAAGAAAUGAGGUAAAUAGCACGAGGCCGCUUCUUGAUCCUCUGAAGAUACCUACUCCUCUCCAAAGAUAAAUAGUUUUCUUCCAAUUUCUACUUUCAUAUCUCAACUCAAAAUCUUCUUCAACAGACCCGAUUUUGAGAUAUAGACAGAGAGACAUGGGUUUGAGUGGGAUUAAAGGCUUGAAGCUAGAAAUAAGGGUUUUAGGAGAACGGGAUAAAUAAUUUGGGAGAAUGAGAUUCUCAAUGGGGAGCUAUCACGACUGUAGGGUUUUAGGAGAAUGGGAAAGAUGGGUUUGGGGAAAUGAG
rnacentral:lncRNA from 1 species